UACGGAGGGGGCUAGCGUUGUUCGGAAUGACUGGGCGUAAAGCGCGCGUAGGCGGAUUGGCAAGUUGGGGGUGAAAUCCCGGGGCUCAACCUCGGAAUGGCCUUCAAGACUGCUGGUCUUGAGUUCGAGAGAGGUGAGUGGAAUUCCGAGUGUAGAGGUGAAAUUCGUAGAUAUUCGGAGGAACACCAGUGGCGAAGGCGGCUCACUGGCUCGACACUGACGCUGAGGUGCGAAAGCGUGGGGAGCAAAC
rnacentral:rRNA from 2 species